rnacentral:lncRNA from 1 species
AGAAAGAGAAAGAAUCGUUAAGGAUAGUGGGGAGGUGUAGGAUAUUUUUGGAAUAAAGAAAAUAGUGAGGAGGUGUAGAAUGUUUUUGAAAUAAAUUAAAUUAAUGGGGAGGUACAGGUCUCACUUGGGGAGGUGUAGGGAGCAACACCCUACUAUUAAUUAACUAAGUCAUUUUUUAAUUGUUAAUAUUGGUUUACAUGACACUAAAUAUUUAUUUUUCUUAUAAUGAAAUAAAAU